CCAAUUGUUGAAUUUUAACCAUUUUUGAAGUUCUAAUCGAGAUCGCAGAAAACGGUUAAACUCGAACGGGAAAAAGUUUCACUAUUGUUGUUUUCCAAACAUUUCAAAAGAGUUUGUACAUUUGAUAGCGUAUGAAAUAUUCGGGCUUGAUUAUUUUCCGUCUUUUAAUCUACCCGCUGCUGAUACCGAAAAAGUUCGCAAUCGAGAAAUAAAUCCGAGAGCCCAUCAGAUCCGGCGGAACAAAUGUUAAUAUCGGAAGGUCAAACAUUCCAGUUCUGAUCGCAAUACAAACCGUGUGGUAACAGGAAAUAAAAAUCUCCGAGAACAAAAUAUACACCAACUGCUGAACCAUUGGCUCCAGCAGUCCAGCUGUGGAAAAAUGCUGCUCAAAUCCAGGCUACAGGGUUCCGGUUGGUAUACCGAUGGUAGUGAAGAGGCCCACAAAUUCGGAUCCUUGACAAUUAUGAUAGAGGUGGGGUUCCAGGAAAUAGGUACAUUUGCUGAGAUGACCCGUUCCGAUAAAGUCGAUAAGCGUCAGCUUAUAUUAAACCUGGAUCUUAUCCAUGAACCGGCAGUUACGUAGUAUAAUACAUUGGGAAUAGCUGUUCCGGAAAAUUUACAAUGUAAAGGCGAGUGCAAAGCGAGUUUUGAUGAUUUGCCGACACCCGGAUCGGCUUGGAUGGUGCACAGGAAGUCAUUCUGGACGUCUGUAGUGUAAUCAUCGAUGCAUAUUUUCGUCGACACCUUUCCUAGAUCUCAGAGCAAGCCGGAUACGAAAGACUCCAUUUCGGAUCCUCAUUUUAUUACAUUUAAUUAUGAAAUAAUAUUUCUCAUACUAAUACUACGAAGUAACUAAUAAAUUUGAUAACAUUUA